UUGACCUCGGAUCAGGUAGGGAUACCCGCUGAACUUAAGCAUAUCAAUAAGCGGAGGAAAAGAAACCAACAGGGAUUGCCUCAGUAACGGCGAGUGAAGCGGCAAUAGCUCAAAUUUGAAAGCUGGCGCCUUCGGCGUCCGCGUUGUAAUUUGUAGAGGAUGCUUCGGCGAGGACUCCUGCCUAAGUCCCCUGGAACGGGGCGUCACAGAGGGUGAGAAUCCCGUACGUGGCGGGCGGUCCGAGCCAUGUGAAGCUCCUUCGACGAGUCGAGUUGUUUGGGAAUGCAGCUCUAAAUGGGAGGUAAAUUUCUUCUAAAGCUAAAUAUUGGCCAGAGACCGAUAGCGCACAAGUAGAGUGAUCGAAAGAUGAAAAGCACUUUGGAAAGAGAGUUAAAAAGUACGUGAAAUUGUUGAAAGGGAAGCGCUUGCAACCAGACUCGCUCGCAGUCGCUCAGCCGGCCUCUUGGCCGGUGUACUCUUCUGCGAUCGGGCCAGCAUCAGUUCGGGCGGCUGGAUAAAGGUGCCGGGAAUGUAGCACCCUUCGGGGUGUGUUAUAGCCCGGUGCGGAAUGCGGCCAGCCUGGACUGAGGAUCUCGCUUCGGCAAGGAUGCUGGCGUAAUGGUUGUAAGCGGCCCGUCU
rnacentral:rRNA from 1 species